AUGCGUGGUUUUUUGGAUACAUGGGGGAUUCUUGUAGCAAAAAUGUUUGAUUUGGGGGUCAAAUGGGGGAUAUUUGAAGAGCAAAAGUGUGAUUUCCGAGUUAAAUGGGGGAUUCUCGAAGAGAAAUUGCAUUUUCUACUGGUUAAAUGGGGGAUUCUCGAAGAGAAAUUGCAUGAGUUUCGUUUACAUGUGAGAUUUUUGUAGAGGAAAUGCGUGUUUUUUUUGGAUACAUGGGGGAUUCUUGUAGCAAAAAUGUUUGAUUUGGGGGUCAAAUGGGGGAUAUUUGAAGAGCAAAAGUGUGAUUUCCGAGUUAAAUGGGGGAUUUUCCUAGAGAAAUGUGUGAUUUGGGGGAUAAUGGGGUAUUUUUGAAGAGAUAAAGCAUGAUUUGGGGGUAAAUGUGGGAUUUCCAAGAGAAAAUGUGUGAUUUGGGGAUAAUGGGGUAUUUUGGAGAGAAAUGCAAGAUUUUGUGGAAAUGGGGAUUUUGCAAGAGAAAAUGCUGAUUUGGGGGUUAAAAGGGGGAUUUCUGAGGAGAAAAUGUGUGAUUUUGGGGAUAAUGGGGUAUUUUUGGAGAGAAAAUGCAUGAUUUUGGGGGUAAAUGCGUAUUUUCCAAGAGAAAAGGUGAGAUUUUUGAGUUAAACGGGGGGUUUUCCAAGAGAAAAUGCGUGAUGUUGGGGUUAAACGGGGGAUUGUUGAAGAGAAAACGCGCAAUUUUUGGUUUGAACAGCAAUUUUUGAAGAGAAUAUGCGUGAUUUUCGUUUAAAUCAGGGAUUCUCAAAGAGAAAAUGUGUGAUUUUUGUUUAAUGGUGUAUUUUGGAAGGGAAAAUGCGUGAUUUUCGGGAAAAAUGGGGGGUUUUCGAAGAGGAAAUGCUUCGUUUCAGGUUAAACUGGGGGUUUUCGAAGCCAAAAUGCGUGAUUUUCACUUAAAUGGGGGAUUUUCCAAACGAAAAUGCAUGAUUUUCUUUUUAGAUGGGGGAUUUUCCUAGAGAAAAGGCAUGAUUUUUGUGUUAAGUGGGGGAUAUUUGCAAAGAAAAGGCGUGAUUUUCGGGUGAAAUAGGGGAUUUUUCAAGAGAAAAUGUGUGAUUUUCAGUUAAAUCGCGGAAUCUCUAAGAGAAAAUGCCUGAUGUUGGCAUUAAAUGUGUGAUUUUCGUAGAGAUAAUGCGUGAUUUUCAGGUUACAUGGGAGAUUUUUGAAGAGAAAAUGCGUGAUAUUCGGGAUAAAUCAGGGAUUCUUGAAGAGAAAAUGCAUCAUUUUCGGGUUGAAUGGGGGAUUCUCGGGGGAUUCUCGAAGAGAAAUGCAUGAGUUUCGUUUACAUGUGAGAUUUUUGUAGAGGAAAUGCGUGUUUUUUGGAUACAUGGGGG
rnacentral:lncRNA from 7 species